GUGAAUCAUCGAAUCUUUGAACGCACAUUGCGCCCGCCAGCAUUCUGGCGGGCAUGCCUGUUCGAGCGUCAUUGCAACCCUCAGGCCCUGCCUGGCGUUGGAGGACUGCGCACUGCAGCCUCCCAAAGCAAGCGGCGGCGGCGCCCCAAAACCGAACGCAGUAGUUACCUCUCGUUCUGGGUGUGGGACGUUGCCCGGCCGGAAAACCCCAUCUUCUUUAGUGGUUGACCUCGAAUCAGGUAGGAAUACCCGCUGAACUUAAGCAUAUCAAUAAGCGGAGGA
rnacentral:misc_RNA from 1 species